rnacentral:rRNA from 1 species
GCGGAGGAAAAGAAACCAACAGGGAUUGCCCCAGUAGCGGCGAGUGAAGCGGCAAAAGCUCAGAUUUGGAAUCGCUUCGGCGAGUUGUGAAUUGCAGGUUGGCGCCUCUGCGGCGGCGGCGGUCCAAGUCCCUUGGAACAGGGCGCCAUUGAGGGUGAGAGCCCCGUGGGACCGUUUGCCUACGCUCUGAGGCCCUUCUGACGAGUCGAGUUGUUUGGGAAUGCAGCUCUAAGCGGGUGGUAAAUUCCAUCUAAGGCUAAAUACUGGCGAGAGACCGAUAGCGAACAAGUACUGUGAAGGAAAGAUGAAAAGCACUUUGAAAAGAGAGUGAAACAGCACGUGAAAUUGUUGAAAGGGAAGGGUAUUGCGCCCGACAUGGAGCGUGCGCACCGCUGCCCCUCGUGGGCGGCGCUCUGGGCGUGCUCUGGGCCAGCAUCGGUUUUUGCCGCGGGAGAAGGGCGGCGGGCAUGUAGCUCUUCGGAGUGUUAUAGCCUGCCGCCGGCGCCGCGAGCGGGGACCGAGGACUGCGACUUUUGUCUCGGAUGCUGGCACAACGGCGCAACACCGCCCGUCUU